rnacentral:rRNA from 1 species
CAGUUCAGAUUGCAGGCUGCAACUCGCCUGCACGAAGUCGGAAUUGCUAGUAAUCGUAGGUCAGCAUACUACGGUGAAUACGUUCCCGGGCCUUGUACACACCGCCCGUCAAACCAUGAGAGUUGGCAACACCCGAAGUCGGUAGUCUAACCGCAAGGAGGACGCCGCCGAAGGUGGGGUUGAUGAUUAGGGUUAAGUCGUAACAAGGUAUC